rnacentral:rRNA from 1 species
CAAGACGACGACGGGUAGCCGGCCUGAGAGGGCGACCGGCCACACUGGGACUGAGACACGGCCCAGACUCCUACGGGAGGCAGCAGUGGGGAAUAUUGCACAAUGGGGGAAACCCUGAUGCAGCGACGCAGCGUGCGGGAUGACGGCCUUCGGGUUGUAAACCGCUUUCAGCAGGGAAGAAGCGCAAGUGACGGUACCUGCAGAAGAAGUACCGGCUAACUACGUGCCAGCAGCCGCGGUAAUACGUAGGGUACGAGCGUUGUCCGGAAUUAUUGGGCGUAAAGAGCUCGUAGGUGGUUGGUCACGUCUGCUGUGGAAACGCAACGCUUAACGUUGCGCGUGCAGUGGGUACGGGCUGCUAGAGUGCAGUAGGGGAGUCUGGAAUUCCUGGUGUAGCGGUGAAAUGCGCAGAUAUCAGGAGGAACACCGGUGGCGAAGGCGGGACUCUGGGCUGUAACUGACACUGAGGAGCGAAAGCAUGGGGAGCGAACAGGAUUAGAUACCCUGGUAGUCCAUGCCGUAAACGUUGGGCACUAGGUGUGGGGGGCAUUCCACGUUCUCCGCGCCGUAGCUAACGCAUUAAGUGCCCCGCCUGGGGAGUACGG